rnacentral:lncRNA from 1 species
UCCCGGGAGUGAUCCCAGAUCCUGGGAGUGAUUCCUGAUCCUGGGAGUGGUCCCAGAUCUUGGGGGUGAUUCCAGAUCCUGGGAGUGAUCCCGGAGUGAUCCCAGAUCCUGGGAAUGAUUCCUGAUCCUUGGGAGUGAUCCCGGGAGUGAUUCUGGGAGUGAUUCCUGAUACUGGGAGUGAUCCCAGAUCCUUGGGAGUGAUCCCAGGAGUGAUCCCAGAUCUUGGGGGUGAUUCCAGAUCCUGGGAGUGAUCCCGGAGUGAUCCCAGAUCUUGGGAGUGAUUCCUGAUCCUUGGGAGUGAUCCCAGAUCCUUGGGAGUGAUCCCAGGAGUGAUCCCAGAUCUUGGGGGUGAUUCCUGAUCCUGGGAGUGAUCCCGGGAGUGAUCCCAGAUCUUGGGGGUGAUUCCUGAUCCUGGGAGUGAUCCCGGGAGUGAUCCCAGAUCCUUGGGAGUGAUCCCAGAUCCCAGGAGUGAUCCUGGGAGUGAUCCCUGAUCCCAGGAAUGAUCCUGGAGUGAUCCUGGGAGUGAUCCCGGGGGUGAUUCCUAGUCCUGGGAGUGAUUCCUGAUCCUUGGGAAUGAUUCCUGAUCCCAGGAAUGAUCCUGGAGUGAUCCUGGGAGUGAUCCCAGAUCCUUGGGAGUGAUUCCCGGGAGUGAUUCCUGAUCCCAGGAGUGAUCCCGGGAGUGAUUCCUGUUCCCUGGGAAUUCCCAAUAUUCCCAGGUACCUGUGCCGUGUGGAGGAGACGCGUCAGUCGCUCAGGAUCCCCUCAAUUCCCGGUGUUUUUCCCAUUGUUAUUCCCAGUUUUUCCCGGUUUUAUUCCCGGUUUUUGCCAUUAUUCCGGUUGUCAUUCCGGUUGUUGUUCUGGUUGUUAUUCCCGUUAUUCCAGUUGUUGUUCCGGUUGUUGUCCCAGGUACCUGUGCCGGGUGGAGGAGAUGCGUCAGUCACUCAGGAUCCCGGGAAUUCCCGGUGUUACUCCCGUUGUUAUUCCCAUUGUCAUUCCUGGUUUUUCCCGGUUUUUCCCAUUAUUCCGGUUGUCAUUCCGAUUGUUGUUCCGGUUGUUCCGGUUGUUGUCCCAGGUACCUGUGCUGGGUGGAGGAGAUGCAUCAGUCGCUCAGGAUCCCCUGAAUUCCCGGUGUUUUUCCGGUUGUUAUUCCUGGUUUUUCCCGGUUUUUGCCAUUAUUCCGGUUGUCAUUCCGGUUGUUGUUCCGGUUGUUGUCGCAGGUACCUGUGCCGUGUGGAGGAGACGCGUCAGUCACUCAGGAUCCCCUGAAUUCCCGUGGUUAUUCCCGGUGUUAUUCCCGUUAUUCCGGUUGUUGUUCCGGUUGUUGUCGCAGGUACCUGUGCCGUGUGGAGGAGAUGCGUCAGUCGCUCAGGAUCCCCUGAAUUCCCGGU